rnacentral:rRNA from 1 species
GUGGCACCUGAGUACUGCCGGACACGUGAAACCCGGUGGGAACCUGGGGGGUCCACCCUCCAAUCCUAAAUACUCUCUUGUGACCGAUAGUGAACCAGUACCGUGAGGGAAAGGUGAAAAGCACCCCUAGCGGGGAGUGAAAUAGUACCUGAAACCGUUUGCCUACAAGCAGUCGGAGCAGACUUUUGUCUGUGACGGCGUGCCUUUUGUAGAAUGAGCCAGCGAGUUACGGCAUGUGGCAAGGUUAAGCUAAAAAGCGAGCCGCAGCGAAAGCGAGUCUGAAUAGGGCGAGUGAGUCGCAUACCGUAGACGCGAAGCCAGGUGAGCUAUCCAUGAGCAGGCUGAAGCGGGGGUAAGACCCCGUGGAGGGCCGAACCCACUUAGGUUGAAAACUGAGGGGAUGACUUGUGGAUAGGAGUGAAAGGCCUAUCAAACCUGGAGAUAUCUCGUUCUCUCCGAAAUAGCUUUAGGGCUAGCCUCGGAUGUUUACCAAUGGGGGUAGAGCACUGAAUAGUUGCGGGGGCUUCACCGC